UCUUCUAUAUUCUGCCUUUUGCUGGACAUUCUUACCAGUUGUGGCUUUGUGUGUCUUGCCACAUCUUCCAGAGCUUUUCCAAGUUUGUCUCUAUGACAGUUCUCAGGAUACUGAGGGCUAUGAAAUCACCCUGUUUGGCUGUUUGAACUCUGAAGGGACAGAGACUCUGAACUGAAGCCUGAGAUCCCCACAGGCUGCCUCCUGCGUCUGCCCUGAAAUACCAAUUGACAGAUCUCUACAACUCUGUCACUCUGAGGAUUUAGAUGGGAAGAAGACCUCUACUGAAGGAUCUGGAUUAAGAGGAUUCAGCGCUAUCAUGAAGGACAAGGAAGUCUGAAUGGCACGUGCACCUUCGGAGUGGGAUCCUGACAGAGAAACUACUUCUGAAGAAAAGAGAAACUUCCCCAUGUGGCUGUACAUCAUUCAGUGUCAUGAAGAAUCAUCCCUUUCUUGAAGACUGACCCUUAUA